GACGAACGCUGGCGGCGUGCCUAAUACAUGCAAGUAGAACGCUGAAGAGAGGAGCUUGCUCUUCUUGGAUGAGUUGCGAACGGGUGAGUAACGCGUAGGUAACCUGCCUUGUAGCGGGGGAUAACUAUUGGAAACGAUAGCUAAUACCGCAUAACAAUGGAUGACACAUGUCAUUUAUUUGAAAGGGGCAAUUGCUCCACUACAAGAUGGACCUGCGUUGUAUUAGCUAGUAGGUGAGGUAAUGGCUCACCUAGGCGACGAUACAUAGCCGACCUGAGAGGGUGAUCGGCCACACUGGGACUGAGACACGGCCCAGACUCCUACGGGAGGCAGCAGUAGGGAAUCUUCGGCAAUGGGGGCAACCCUGACCGAGCAACGCCGCGUGAGUGAAGAAGGUUUUCGGAUCGUAAAGCUCUGUUGUAAGUCAAGAACGGGUGUGAGAGUGGAAAGUUCACACUGUGAAGGUAGCUUACCAGAAAGGGACGGCUAACUACGUG
rnacentral:rRNA from 1 species